UGAUACAGACUCUCUAUUAGUGGCUUGGAGAGAGGACUGAGGCUCACAGCUUCUCAAUGAGGAGACGCAGCCAAGAGAAGACAGAGCAGUCAUUCCUCGGGAGCCUUCCGCUGCACGCGUGACAAGGAGGGUGAGGGUGGGGGUGUGCAAAAGAAGCUCCCAGUCAUCACUACAUAGGAGUUCUACUUACAGAGAGCAAGGCAACAGCAAAGGAGAGGAAAAUAGAUCUCCACGUGUGAAGCUGAUACAGCAGUGACAUGAUGAGCCGCCGCUUCCUCCAACCAGUGGGUGACACAGACCUGAGGGUGCGCUGGUUUUGGUGACUCUUUAUGGUUCCUAGGGAUUCAAAGCAAGUGAGUGGUGCAGAUCCAGAAGAAGGACUAUCCAGAAAAGAAAAGCCUUUGUGAACCGAAUAUUGUGCUGGGUUUGGCUUAUCUGGAAUUUCAGGCAGCGAUUUCGGGUUUCCAGUAUGGAUGAAUUAAAAGACGAGUGAGUCCACUGAGGAGGCAGUCAUUCGAACCGAUCCUUGGUCCUCCUAAACUUACUAAUCAGAAUGUCCUGUUUUCUGGCCAUGUGGGUCAGCCUCAGUUUGCUGUUGCUGUGCCAGGCUACACUCUACCAGACCAUCCAGCAACACCAUGUGGCCCGGCCUGGUCGCACUGACAUUCUCACCCUGGAGGGAGGUACAUGCGAGGUGAUUGCAGCUCACAGAUGCUGUAACAAGAAUCGCAUAGAGGAACGCUCUCAAACCGUCAAGUGCUCCUGUUUACCAGGCAAAGUGGCAGGGACAACACGCAACAAACCCUCCUGUGUGGAUGCAUCCAUCGUAAUUGGGAAAUGGUGGUGUGAGAUGGAACCAUGUCUGGAGGGAGAAGAGUGCAAAACUCUACCCGACAACUCCGGAUGGAUGUGCUCCUCUGGGAAUAAAAUCAAGACCACAAGGAACACCCAGCCAUACUCCCCUUUUUAGCUUCUGGAAGCAAAAUGCAGAGGAAACGCCAACCGAAAUUGAGCUGCAUUCUUGCUUCUGUAAAGAUUCAUCCCAGGACCUAACAACGAGCUCCCAUCCUGAGACCCCAUGCCAGCCUUUUCCCCUCAUGUACCCUUUCCCUUCCUGACGAACGGUGUAAAAGUAUUACAUCCAAGGCUGGUGACUGGAUUACCUGGGACCACAAAAAGGAUAUCCUCUAAGAUAAAACAGCUUUGCUCGCGUGGUGCCAAGGAUUUCCAACCACACUAAUCCCCUGUUUGAUCAAGGAGCCCCAUGUUGGUGAAUCUUCUCAUCCACACAGCUGUGGCCAGCUUGCCACCAACUCUGCCCCAGUUACCUCUUCCUCUGUAUAUCGCUAUAAAACUGAAGCAGCUCAGUCGGGGUCAUUUCGAGGGUGUUUGAACAUUAUGUGAAGACUUUCGCAUCGCCUGUUUAAAAGGUAAAGACGCUUAGAAGCUCUCAAGGACCUGAACAUGGAACUAAGAGCACAAAGGCGGGAAAUUACGCUGACAUCCUUUUCUUUCUGUGUGGAUAUCUACCUUUGUGUUUGACUUGCUUACAAGAUGGCUAUUGUAGGAACUACCUAGGCGUGAGACAGAAUCAGCAGCCUCUUUUUUGUGCGUGUGACCUGAAGGUGUGCUCUUAUGGCCUCACCUUCGUGGUUAAUGAACAUUUGAUUUGACUUCUUGACCUUCAAGGCAUGUACAUUGUACGGCGCUAGUUUUCUUUGUAUGUAAGAUUACGUAUGUGUGUGUAUAUAAUAUAUAAAUGAAAGACAUAUAAGACAAGAGACCCAACGAACAGAAACAUAUUUAAGACUCUUUUUUUGGAGCUUAACAAGCACACAAUGGUAUGUUGUUUUCUCCCUUCUUAGUAAAAGUGCAAUUCAUACUUGUCGAGAGCCCUACAUUGAUGUGUAUAGGACUGAUUUACCUGUGCUGGAAAAAGUAUAAUGCUAACUGUAAAAAUUCCUAUUUGUCACUGGUCAUUUUGCAGUGUUGCUGGUCAAGCCAGAACAUUCUGGUAUACAUAGAUGAGGAAAACACUGUAUAGGACUGCCUCACAAACCAACAUAGUCUGCGGUUUCGACUCAGAUUGGCAACCAUUGUAAAAAAUUAAAUGCAGGAUAACUUAAUUGGAAAAUUGUGUCUCUUGCUGAUGAAAGUGGUCAUAAGUAAUCUGUGAACGUUUUCUGUGUAGAUGUACUGUUCACACAUCGGACUGUGACUAUUCAGGUGAAAUAUUCCAGAACACAGAGAUGGUAUUGACGACUGCAAAGACAAAUACUGCUAUCCCUCAGUAGAGAUACAAGUACAUUACAAGAGAGCCUCAUGAGAAAUAAAAGUGGUUUUCUAUGCUGAUUUGUAGUCUCCAGUUCCAUUCUUGUGAUGACUGAUUUAUGGGGAAAAUGACUACUUGCUGUUUUGUAAUAUCUUGUCAUUUAUAUGAUGUAUUAACAUUGUGAAUAGACUUUUUGCUUGAAUGAAUAAGCAAUCAAAUCCAACACACAGCAAAUAUAAAAUGUGUCUUCCAGGCAAACAAACAUGUAGUAAACACACAAACAAUCCAUUGGUGCCUCAUUUAUAUUAUUCCCAUGCUAGUAGACUGAAUUUAUCGGAAGCACAUUCAAUUCAUCCGAGCAAUUAAAAUAAAGAUUUCCAAUAUUUUUCCUGGCCAACUCCAAGAUGAUUUCGAUAUUGAGCCCUUCUCUGCUCAUUUGAGAGGUACAGUAUUUCUUCCAGUGGCUGUGCUUCUAUAUAUUAUCAUAGCCAAAUAUUUCUCGUUUCUCAGAGCAUCGAACCUCACUAAGCUGUUAUAACCAGGGGUGAAAGUG